GAUGAACGCUGGCGGCGUGCCUAAUACAUGCAAGUCGAGCGAACAGACGAGGAGCUUACUCCUCUGACGUUAGCGGCGGACGGGUGAGUAACACGUGGAUAACCUACCUAUAAGACUGGGAUAACUUCGGGAAACCGGAGCUAAUACCGGAUAACAUGUUGAACCGCAUGGUUCAACAGUGAAAGACGGUCUUGCUGUCACUUAUAGAUGGAUCCGCGUCGCAUUAGCUAGUUGGUAAGGUAACGGCUUACCAAGGCAACGAUGCGUAGCCGACCUGAGAGGGUGAUCGGCCACACUGGAACUGAGACACGGUCCAGACUCCUACGGGAGGCAGCAGUAGGGAAUCUUCCGCAAUGGGCGAAAGCCUGACGGAGCAACGCCGCGUGAGUGAAGAAGGUCUUCGGAUCGUAAAACUCUGUUAUUAGGGAGGAACAAAUGUGUAAGUAACUAUGCACGUCUUGACGGUACCUAAUCAGAAAGCCACGGCUAACUACGUG
rnacentral:rRNA from 1 species